rnacentral:rRNA from 1 species
AUGGGAACGCGAAGAACCUUACCUAGACUUGACAUCUCCUGAAUAGUGUAGAGAUACAUGAAGCCCUUCGGGGCAGGAAGACAGGUGGUGCAUGGUUGUCGUCAGCUCGUGUCGUGAGAUGUUGGGUUAAGUCCCGCAACGAGCGCAACCCUUAUUACUAGUUGCUACCAUUAAGUUGAGCACUCUAGUGAGACUGCCCGGGUUAACCGGGAGGAAGGCGGGGAUGACGUCAAAUCAUCAUGCCCCUUAUGUCUAGGGCAGCACACGUGCUACAAUGGUGAGUACAGAUAGAUGCGAUACCGCAAGGUGGAGCCAAACUCUAAAACUCAUCCCAGUUCGGAUUGUAGGCUGCAACUCGCCUACAUGAAGUUGGAGUUGCUAGUAAUCGCGAAUCAGAAUGUCGCGGUGAAUACGUUCCCGGGUCUUGUACACACCG